rnacentral:lncRNA from 1 species
CGCCCCUCACUCCGCCCAGCCGCCGGGGUGGGGCGGGGACGCGUCCCCGGGGAAACGGACGGACGCGCCGCUUGUCCAGCGCGCAAAAGCUCGGUAGCAGCCGGUGGGGCGAGGGUUGGCGUCCAGGAGAGAGUGGGCGCCAGGGGAGCGCGACCCCAGUGUCCUCGCCACUCAGGGCAGGAGCAAGGACCAGAUCAGCCCGCGUCGCCUCGGACGUACCCGCUGGCAGCCCCGAGGAUGGCAACCUCGGAGAUGCGAGGCUCCCGGGAUGCCCCCACUCCGCGCCUAAGCCCGGGGGCCAGCCUGGAGGAGGCCGAGGCCGAGGAGGAGGACGAGGCGGCGGCGGCGGCGCGCAGGGCGCGGAGCUUCGCCCGAGACGCGCGGGUGCGCUUCCUCGGCGGCCGCCUGCAACAGCUGCUGGGGCUCCGGGAGGAGACGUGGAGCCACUACUUGGAAAGCGAGGACAACCGGCGGGUCCUGAGCGAGUUUCUGGAGCGCUGCGGCCCCGCCUGCCUGGUGUUCAGCGUCGCCGGCGAGGGGCGGCUCGCGGCCUCCCGGGAGAUUCCAAGAGAUGCAAAACAUAAACUUGUUUAUAUUGCCAAGAAGAUUACUGAAAACAGUGAAGCAAAUACUUUCUCUCAAAAGGUGUUCUUUGAAGAGUUACCUGCGUCAUCUCUUGGACAUGUAACUGCUUUCCUAGAUGAGGUACUAGUCUUUCUUUAGCAUUUGAAUCUUUUAUGUAUCUCCAUGGCUCGUGGAAUUAUGUGAGUCAGCACUGGCUGCUUAAAGAGCCUGUAGAAGCCAGCAUUGUCAUAGGAAAGUAUGUAUAAGGAAAGUGACCACAUUUAGACUUUCUAAAAUGAGCUGAUAAUGACACCUGGUAUUCAACAGGUGGGACCUUGUCAGAUCAUUCCUCUCUUCCUCCCUCCCUUCCCCUCUUCCUUCCAAAAUAAUGGAAAGAAAGAGAAACCAGCUUGAACUGACGAGGUUCUUGUACUUUGUUGUAGGUUUUAAACUUCC